rnacentral:rRNA from 1 species
GCAAGUCGAGCGCCCCGCAAGGGGAGCGGCAGACGGGUGAGUAACGCGUGGGAAUCUACCUUUUACUACGGAAUAACGCAGGGAAACUUGUGCUAAUCCUGUAUGUGCCCUUCGGGGGAAAGAUUUAUCGGUAAAGAUGAGCCCGCGUUGGAUUAGGUAGUUGGUGGGGUAAAGGCUACCAAGGCGACGAUGCAUAGCUGGUCUGAGAGGAUGAUCAGCCACAUUGGGACUGAGACACGGCCCAAACUCCUACGGGAGGCAGCAGUGGGGAAUAUUGGACAAUGGGCGCAAGCCUGAUCCAGCCAUGUCGCGUGAGUGAUGAAGGCCCUAGGGUUGUAAAGCUCUUUCACCGGGGAAGAUAAUGACGGUACUCGGAGAAGAAGCCCCGGCUAACUUCGUGCCAGCAGCCGCGGUAAU